CCUGAUGAAUUUAAGCAUAUUAGUCAGCUGAGGAAAAAACAUUAGCUAGGAUUCCCUAAGUAAUGGCAAAUGAACAUGAA
rnacentral:ncRNA from 1 species